rnacentral:ribozyme from 1 species
GACUUCCUGAUGAUUUCAAAUUUGGAGUUUGCUAUUGG